AUUGAACGCUGGCGGCAGGCCUAACACAUGCAAGUCGAGCGGAUGAAGGGAGCUUGCUCCUGGAUUCAGCGGCGGACGGGUGAGUAAUGCCUAGGAAUCUGCCUGGUAGUGGGGGAUAACGUCCGGAAACGGGCGCUAAUACCGCAUACGUCCUGAUGGAGAAAUUGGGGGAUCUUCGGACCUCACGCUAUCAGAUGAGCCUAGGUCGGAUUAGCUAGUUGGUGGGGUAAAGGCCUACCAAGGCGACGAUCCGUAACUGGUCUGAGAGGAUGAUCAGUCACACUGGAACUGAGACACGGUCCAGACUCCUACGGGAGGCAGCAGUGGGGAAUAUUGGACAAUGGGCGAAAGCCUGAUCCAGCCAUGCCGCGUGUGUGAAGAAGGUCUUCGGAUUGUAAAGCACUUUAAGUUGGGAGGAAGGGCAGUAAGUUAAUACCUUGCUGUUUUGACGUUACCAACAGAAUAAGCACUGGCUAACUUCGUG
rnacentral:rRNA from 1 species